rnacentral:lncRNA from 1 species
AAGGAUGUUAUUUUAUCGGUGAAGGACUAACAUAAGCUGAAUUCAUCCCAUCGUAACAAUCUCGGUUUUCUUCCCUAUCGGAACACGAGACGAUCUUCGUGGGAGGUUGCACAGCACGCAAAAACAUAGAUCCAUACGCAAGAAUAACACCUUCCGCGUCUGGCUAAUCACAACACUUGGAACACCCUAUACCUAGACGAGAUACGACACUGGAUAAACAUUCGAUCAUCUCGAACGAAACGAGCAA